GUGGCCAGAAUCGAACAUCCCCUCAGGAGAAGGUUAAAUUGCCUCUGCGUCUGUCUGUCUGUCUGUUGUCUCUGUCUCGGUUCAAUGUGUUUAUGGGCAUUGAAUGUUUGCCCUAUGUGUGUAUAAUGUGAUCCGCCCUGAGUCCCCUUCGGGGUGAGAAGGGCGGAAUAUAAAUACUGCAAAUAAAUAAAUAAAUAAAUUAUCAAGAGCCUUUUAGCCUUCCUCAUUUCUAUAAUUGCUGAAAUGACAUCUAUUCUAACUCCCAGAUUAUCCCCUGUACCUGACAAAUUUGUCAUAAGAAUUGACAAAUGCACAUGAAUUUAUGUUUCAUGACAUUAUUACAGUGGUAUCUCGUAUCUGGCAAAAUGUUGUAUUCAGGGCACUCUCAGUGUUCAGAUCACAGGCUGCCACUGCUUCAUUGCCAACAAGGUUCUAAUAAUAACCUUUCUGAUCUCCAGGAUGAAAAUUAAAUCUUCCCACUCCAUUCUUCUAAUCCAGAGUAGGAAGACUGGGGCUUAGAACAGAUGUCAUUUCAGCAGUUAUAGGUUCAUAUUUGAUAUUGUAGUCCUGUGUUACACUUUCUUGCAUUCUUUAGAAGAAGAGAACCAAACAUGAACACUAUUCUGGUGACGGGUUACUUCAUUCUGCUCUACAUCAAUAUAGGUGGAAUAUCUCCCAUUAUUUUUCUUCGUAGUUGGUGCACUGCGCUGCAAUUAUUGUUCCAAAGUCAAAACUGACAACACUUGUCAGUACAAGGAAACUAUUUGCAAUACAGGAGUAAUGAAUUACUGCUACACCAAAAUAGUUUCUGCAGCAUUUUCUAUUAAAAAGGUCAGUCGGGGAUGCAGUUCUGUCUGUCGUUCCAUCAGUGCCAAGAAAAAAAUGUUUCAAAAGCAAAUGCUCUGCUGUAUUAAAGACCGCUGCAACAAUCACACUAUCUGGCCAAAAGAGAAAUAAACUAAACAAACUUCUG